GUGGCUGCUGGAUGGGUGCUCUCUACUAGUGCUGUGCAGAGGCUUUCGCUGAGGCUGCCGUGAGCCUGUAGGGUUUCCCCCUAAGCUACGGAGCUGG
rfam:Equus caballus chromosome 23, whole genome shotgun sequence.